rnacentral:misc_RNA from 1 species
CGAGAGAAAAGCUUACCUGAUUAAUUAUCAAACUAGGCUGUAAAAAACAAAUAUCAAAGGAUCCCAUGACAAGAACAGAUGCUGAAAACAUUUAACAGAAAUUACAUGGGAUCUAAUGGUGUGAUAUUCUCAAUAUUCAAUUGCCUCAGCCCCGUACAAAUGCGAUUAUUAAAGUCAAUGUAUAUUUACAGAACUUAAACAAGAACCAAGAUUCCACCUUCCAUCGUAGAAGAAUGAGCAGCAAUAGAAGGAUCAUCUACCCAAGUAAAAAACAAUGGGGGCUGGAAGAUUUGAACCAUAUUCGAUCGUUUUAUGGAAAAUCCAAAGAAAGCAAUGAUGCUGGAGACUGUAGAAAAGACCUUCAAAUCUCUAACUUUUGGAUUGCUGAGAAGCAUGAGGAAAUAAUUCCUCAGAAUACCGUACAUGAUCACUAUGCAAAUAGGAUGAUUUUACAAUAUUUUCCCAUUUGGAUCUAGUACAGCAUGUCUUAAGAUCCUGCCUCUUACUCUGCAAAUUGGUGCCUCGGUAUAAAUGCGAAGAUGGGUUUUGAGAGGAAAUUGAUGGCAGAGUUCGCCUAAGCCAAGAUUCAGAAGGAGUUUUUGGUUGAAGUGGGGGAAGAAGAUUCUGUACUAAACUGGUUUUUGCAUUUUCUGAAUCAAUGUUUGAAAUCUGAUCGCUUUCAAUAUCUUGAUUUCCUUCAAAGUGAGUUCUUAUACAUACUAAGGCCUGAGAUAAGUCCUCAAUCCUUUCUGCUUCGCCUUUGUGAGGUAAAUUGUCUGAGAGAAAAGAUAAAUCAGCAGCACCACACUGCAAGCCCUUAUGUUCCAGUUUACCCAUUCCCCCUGGAAAAUUCAAGCAUUUUGCAUCUUCAGAAAGGCAUUCUAUAGCAGCAUUUUCUUGAAUUUCCCUGCUAUUUGACAAAGAUUUCAGAUCCUUCUCUGCAGAGUCCAUACACUCCUCCUGAACUUUAGAGGAACCUGAAUUUGAACAUAAUAAUCCGGCCACAUUUACAGUAUCUACAUACAAUGUCUUCUCAACGGUGGGGCUCACUGGGCAAGAUCCCCGUCUAAUCCCAUGAUAAGAUACUAGUUCCUGAGAUUUACUAUAGCGUUUCAAUUUAUUGGUUUUCAAAUCCUCAAUUUCUUUAGGAAUGCCCGGAAAUCCGCCUCCAGAGAAGGAUGAUUGAGGUGCUUGAUUGCGGCGAGGAGAAAUGCCCCUUGAAGUUGAACGCCUAAAAGGAGAUGUCUGACUUAUCAUUAGCCGGUCGCUUGCAUAUGAGAACCUAUUGGAUCCACAACUUAGCUUGUUCUCAACCCCAACCAGCCUAGGCGAUUGAACUUCAUUUUCUAGUUUUUGUUUAUAAACAGCAUCCUUGGCAGGCUUCUUUACUGAUGGACUCUGAGACCUGGCACAAAUCGCUUUACUCAGUCUUUUAAUAUCAUCAUGGGUUGAAGACACGGACGCCUGGGUCCUAACUUUCAUCCCAGCGAUAGGAUUUAAGAGGCACAAAGAAUUCUUUAUGGAUAACCGAGGGAGCAGACCGCAACCUUUGGUUGAGAUACUGCCAGAAUCUGCAUACUCAUCAGAUUCAUUUUCACUUUCUUCGUCUUCUAUAUCCUGGUGAUAAGAUAAGGCAUUCAAAGAUUCAUUUCGUUUAACAGGAGGUGUCCUAUCUGGAAGAACAACAUUCGUAAUCUGCCUAGGUUGUUCAGCUGACACAGGUUGCUUUCUUGAAGCAUAAUGAGGUGUCUCCAAUGUCAUUGCCUUGGCAGCAGGCAAGAAGCGACUCAUCAUGAAAUCUCGGGUUUGUGGAUCAGUGGAGAAGGUUCCUGAUCGCUUCAGAACCUGAUUAUCAAAGCCACUCACACCGCUUACACUACAGUUCACGGAGAAUGAAUCCGUGGGAGCCAUUGUGUCUAGUGCAUCAGAGUAAACAUCAUCAUGAUUAUCAUUGUCACCAUCGUUCUCUGAAUUGAAGCCUGCUUUCUCAUUCACUCCCUCCUCUUUGCAAUUCAAUCCACUCACAACAAUAUCCUUGAACGAAUUUGCUUCAUUUUGAGGCCUAAACACAACUUGAUCUUCAGGUUUCUUACCUUUAGUAUUCUUUACAAUAUCCAUUACCCUUUGAGGAGGACCCCUUGGAGUAACAGAAGCCUCCUUGAGGCCCUGAGGAUUAGGAACUCUAUCAUUCUUGGGUCUGCCCGGGAUAUGUUCCCAAUGAAAAGGAACAGCUACUGGUUCUGUUACUUGAUAUAAAUUGAAAUCUGAUUUAUGAGAAGGAAGAGUAUGGCGUCUAUUAAGCUGAGAGUUUUCAACUUUCUUCCCCUUUGCUCCAUUUGAAGAUGAUGUAUUAGAAGAUCGCCUAACUGAUAAAAGCGGCACAUUGAAAUUCAACUUCCUUUCCUCCAUCACUGCUCGCUCCACUAUCAAGCAAAUUCAAAAACUCACUAAUUGCACAUCAUUGCUUAUACAAAAGGAUCAAGGCGAGUCAAUCCAGAAAAUAAAUCUGAAAAUAAACAGAAAAUGGUUACUAUAACUUGAACACCUUAUGGCAUAAAUUUGAAAGAUAGCAGAAGAGAAUGAGAAAUUGGGGAUGGAAGAACAACGGAAAAAUUAUCAGUUCACACGUCAAAACAGAAAGUGAUUGUCUAAUAAAGCUUGGAGAGAAAGAGCAUUUAUUCUUCUCUCAAGCGAAAUAAAAGAACUCAUAAAAAUGCUGCGUCAGGUGCCAUACAGAAAAUUAAAAAUCAAUAAAAAAAGUGGGAUCUGUGAAAACAAUAACCUCAUUCAACUAACUAGUUGGGAAGAUCAGAGCAAAAAUAAUAUACAGAAUCUAAUUUUUCUUUUCUUUUCUUUUCUU